rnacentral:misc_RNA from 1 species
GAGGAAAGUCCGGACUUUAUAAGAAAAGAUGCUGGAGAAAUUCCAGGGGCCGUAAGGCUACGGAAAGUGCAACAGAAAACACUCCGCUAUAAAUUGUAUAAUUUAUAGACAGGCUGAAAAAUCUUACUUUAGGAGUAAGAGCUGCUAGGGAGACCUAGCAGACUUGUAAACCCCAUCUGAAGCAAGAGAAAAAGUUAUUUGUUUCUGCAAACAACCUUUCUAACGAAAGGCACAGGCUUUUUCAUAAUCGCUUGAGGAGUACAGUAAUGUGCUCCCUAGAUGAAUGGUUGCCCGCAAGCAAGAACUUCCGUUCG